GAGAGCUUGGAUGGGACUACUAAUCCCUAUGUCUGGGUGCAACCAGGAGUUUUCG
rnacentral:tRNA from 1 species